rnacentral:lncRNA from 1 species
GGAUCUGCACUUAAUGCCAUGUUACAUAAACUGCAACAUGCGAAGAAUGGGGUCGAUGUUGUCUUAGAAAAUAAGGACACAUUGUUGUUUUCAGACUUGGCUGCAGCACAUGAAUCAUCUUGAAUAGCUGCCUCUGCGUUCAAAUAUGACAAUAGCUGGUGCAAAUGCCCGUUUCUGUUGCUGGUAGUCACUAUUAAAAGGGUAUCGCUAGGGGUGCAUUACACUUUGUAGGAGAUAAAGCCUGUUGCCUCCAACGUAAAAUAUUUUGAAGUUAAAACAAUUUAUUUAGAAUGGUAUGGUCCUAACACCCCAAAGAUUAUCAGGAGAAGAGCUUCU